rnacentral:rRNA from 1 species
GUCGAGCGGGCGAGGUUGCUUCGGUAACUGAGCUAGCGGCGGACGGGUGAGUAAUGCUUAGGAAUCUGCCUAUUAGUGGGGGACAACAUUCCGAAAGGAAUGCUAAUACCGCAUACGCCCUACGGGGGAAAGCAGGGGAUCUUCGGACCUUGCGCUAAUAGAUGAGCCUAAGUCAGAUUAGCUAGUUGGUGGGGUAAAGGCCUACCAAGGCGACGAUCUGUAGCGGGUCUGAGAGGAUGAUCCGCCACACUGGGACUGAGACACGGCCCAGACUCCUACGGGAGGCAGCAGUGGGGAAUAUUGGACAAUGGGCGCAAGCCUGAUCCAGCCAUGCCGCGUGUGUGAAGAAGGCCUUUUGGUUGUAAAGCACUUUAAGCGAGGAGGAGGCUACUUGGAUUAAUACUCUAGGAUAGUGGACGUUACUCGCAGAAUAAGCACCGGCUAACUCUGUGCCAGCAGCCGCGGUAAUACAGAGGGUGCGAGCGUUAAUCGGAUUUACUGGGCGUAAAGCGUGCGUAGGCGGCUUCUUAAGUCGGAUGUGAAAUCCCUGAGCUUAACUUAGGAAUUGCAUUCGAUACUGGGAAGCUAGAGUAUGGGAGAGGAUGGUAGAAUUCCAGGUGUAGCGGUGAAAUGCGUAGAGAUCUGGAGGAAUACCGAUGGCGAAGGCAGCCAUCUGGCCUAAUACUGACGCUGAGGUA